CACCACUCAGGGCAAGGCAGGAACUUCUGCUGGACAUCCAGGAUCACACUGACUCCUCGGAGGUCCUGAAAGCACUGAUGGAGGGGACACUGAUGGAAAUGGCUUUGUGCAGGAGGCUGUCUUGCUAUUAUAACCUUGGCCAAGGAUCGAACAGUUUUCUCACAAGCGGUAUUUGGCAUGGCUGAAUUUUACCUGUAUUUCAACUGAGGGCAUUUGCCAGCACCGCACAUUGGAGAACAAGCUGCCACGUUGGCUCCACGCAGAAAGAACAACUAUUCUGACCAGCACGGUUCCUGGAUUGUUCAGCUUGAGUGCAUACAGUGCUGCAACCCGCGCUGGAGAGCACAGCACAGAGCUCAGCCAGAGGCUGUCUCAGCUCUUGUUACAGUUCUCCUAUGCAUACCCAGGCAGUGUGUCAAAGACAAGUGAUGCUAUAGUUUUGGUGAGACACGGAACAUGAUGGCAAAAGGACAGGUGUG
rnacentral:lncRNA from 1 species